UUGACCUCGGAUCAGGUAGGAAUACCCGCUGAACUUAAGCAUAUCAAUAAGCGGAGAAAAAU
rnacentral:rRNA from 1 species